GUGCUUCAAGUGCUAGCAGGAUAUUUCCUAUCUAAGAAAACAGAUGCUGGUUAGGAGCUUCCUAAGCAUUUUCUCUUUCCUCCCAGAACUGCUGGAGAGAGAAUUAUAUUCUCUUCUGUUGUCAGUUUAGAGGAGAACAAAACCAAACAUCACCUGGAGAGGUUCCUGCUGUUGCACUCCCAGAGGCUGGAACUGCUGCCCCAGGACCAGGAUCUGCCCAUUACUGAGCAAGCUGCCAUGCUGCAGCAGACAACUGGGAAGACUUUGAGCAAGAGAAGGAGGAGAGGAACCAGUUUGCUUUGUGCUUGGGGGGGAAUUGACUGCCAGGCUUUUGGUGUCCAGCUGCAUAGAGAAGUCUUGAAGGCCUGUUCCUUGUUGCCAGCUCUCCCUGUCUGGUUACAGACUCCUGGUUUGCACUUUUGUGAUUCAACAAACUGCAGAGGUGGAGCAAACAGCAGAAACUCCAGGAAAGCAAAAAGUCCAGCCUGGGCAGAGGACAAAGGUCUUCCUCUUGAGCUGAGCUUGCCCCAGCCUGUCAGAAGAGCUCCAACAAAACUUGAUUGCCAUCCUGACUCCACACAGCCCAGGUACAGCAGCACUGACAGUGAUACACUGCAAGUGAGGUGCCUCAGUCCCCACCAGCCAUUUCUGAGCCCUGAACAAAUAGCCAGGGAUGUACUGCGGUCUGGAUGUGGCCCUGGGCGCCUCAAACAGGAAGGAGAUGGAUCCUGCUUCUCACCAGCUAGGGUGAGCUCCCCCAAUGCCUUGCGCUGGGAGCUGGGAGUACAUCCCAGCCUCCAUCCCUGCCAAAUGGGGAUACCAGCAGCACUGGCACACAGACCAAAAUGCCUUUGAUGUGUCUAUCUCUGCAGACCAAAGCACAGAUCCAUCUUUAAUAAGCUUAUGAUCUGCUGAGCUGGAGAGUUUUGCCUGUGAUGUGCCUGCGUAGCAGAGCUGUGAACUGGCUGUUGGGAGGUUCUCAAGUGGCUGCUGUGUGCAGUGUGUGACUGGGGAGGGAUCCCUUCUGCAAAACAAGAUUUAAAUCUGCUCAGGAAUGUCUGCGUCAGCAAAAGCUUCUGGAAUGGUGAUUUAUUCCAAGGCCUCUCGCUUGGCUCUGAUCUUGGAGGGAACUUUCAUCUGGAAGUCCCAGGAUGGGAAGAGUGGUGUAAGGAUAAAGGGCUCUGAUUGCCAGGAAUGGAUCCUAUUCCAGCCCUUUUACCCUAAUGUCUCCAAAUAAAAGGUCCCACAGGGAAGGCUCUGGGCUCAGUAUGCUCCAUCUUACUAGUGCCUCUGGAAAACUCUGAGGGUUCAGAUUUCUCACUUGGUUCUAUCAACCCCCAUGUGCAGCUAGCAGAGAAGAAUGGUUGCACCACCCAUGCUACACUGCCUUAUCCAGACACUGGGACUGUCACCCUAAUUCAUCCCACACAGAGACCAGGGUGGUGGCUGGAGCUGGGGCUGGACUGCUGUGGCUGUCCCCAGUCUGGACUACUCAGUCCCAGCUCUGCAGAGGAAUGCUGUGGGCAGGGUGCUGGGGUUGUGGUUGGACAGUGGCCUAGAGCUUUCAAGGGCCUCUGGAUCGUGGGGAAAUCCACCACUUCUGCAGCCUCCUGAGCACGGAAGAUCCUCAAAAUCUGAGCUUGAGUACCCAGAGCUGAAAGGAGCUGUGCAGGGGCAUUCAUGUUGGCAUGGGCUGCUAUCCACAGCCCAUUUGCAGAAGCAACCUGGGAGGUGGCAGACGGAAUAGCUGCAGAGACCAUAGCUGGAAAACAGCGGAGGUGGCAGACUCUGAAAAAGAAGGAUGCACUUGAAAUCCAUCAGAACCAACGACUGACCCACCAUGUGUGCCAGGGCAACAUGGUCACCUUGACCAGGCUCACCAGGCUGCAUGGAGAAGGCAGCCACUAGAGACACUGAUAAAAUGAGACAUUCCCCAAGUGGGCUGUGAUGAGUAACAAGCCAGGAAAUGGCAAGGAGAGGUCUUCUGACAUCCUCUGUGUGUGUGAAGCAACAGUUAUUAAAGACUACAGCAAUGCAGGGAGCUGGGAAAGUGCAAGAGAAGCCAGAGAAAGCCUGAGACUCUAGGAAUAGGAAUCUGAGACUUGGCAAACAUGGGAGCUCCUGAAAAGCCUCAGAUGGUGAAGCUGUGCCUGGAAGGUGGCAGCCAACCUGGUAGAUCACGUAUGGCAGCUCAGCUCUGAGAAGGGCUCAGAGGCACAGCUCUGCACUGUUUUUCUCUGCCUGGGCUGGCUGUGGGAAGUUGAAGAAUGAGGGGGAAGAGAAGUAUAAAAUCAGGGUGCAGAGCAGCUGCUUGGACAGUGGAAGGUAAGAGAAUCCAGUGGGAUGUUCCAUUGGACUUCAGAGACAUCUGUGUGAAGUCUGGCAGAAGGUCCUGGGUGAGGGAAAUGGGACUCAUGCUGAGUCAAUUCCUCCGGGAAAAUGAAAAGCAAAAAGCCAUGGAAAGGUCCUGACCCUCUCAGGCUGCUGCUCUUCCUGGCUAAACAGAGAGGCCAGCAGCUUACUUGCAUCAGCUGAACACUUUUAUUUCCAGUGGGUUACACAUGCAUGUUGACAAUAAAAGACAGAGACCUC